UCUAGAACCUUCAAGUGGGUUGAGUGCCAAUUGGUUGGCACUUACCAUGGUUCCCCAGACCAGUCCCAUCAAGUGACUGGUAACCACCAGCAGCCUCCUCAGCAGAACACUGGAUUUCCACGUAGCAAUCAGCCCUAUUACAAUAGUCGUGGUGUGUCUCGUGGAGGCUCCCGUGGUGCUAGAGGCUUGAUGAAUGGAUACCGGGGCCCUGCCAAUGGAUUCAGAGGAGGAUAUGAUGGUUACCGCCCUUCAUUCUCUAACACUCCAAACAGUGGUUAUACACAGUCUCAGUUCAGUGCUCCCCGGGAUUACUCUGGCUAUCAACGGGAUGGAUAUCAGCAGAAUUUCAAGCGAGGCUCUGGGCAGAGUGGACCACGGGGAGCCCCACGAGGUCGUGGAGGGCCCCCAAGACCCAACAGAGGGAUGCCGCAAAUGAACACUCAGCAAGUGAAUUAAUCUGAUUCACAGGAUUAUGUU
rnacentral:sRNA from 1 species